rnacentral:rRNA from 1 species
AGAACGAACGCUGGCGGCAUGCCUAAUACAUGCAAGUCGAACGAACUCUUCGGAGUUAGUGGCGCACGGGUGCGUAACGCGUGGGAAUCUGCCCUUGGGUUCGGAAUAACAGUUGGAAACGACUGCUAAUACCGGAUGAUGACGAAAGUCCAAAGAUUUAUCGCCAGGGAUGACGCCCGCGUAGGAUUAGCUAGUUGGUGAGGUAAGCUCA